rnacentral:rRNA from 1 species
GCUGACGAGUGGCGGACGGGUGAGUAAUGUCUGGGAAACUGCCUGAUGGAGGGGGAUAACUACUGGAAACGGUGGCUAAUACCGCAUAACGUCGCAAGACCAAAGAGGGGGACCUUCGGGCCUCUUGCCAUCAGAUGUGCCCAGAUGGGAUUAGCUUGUUGGUGAGGUAACGGCUCACCAAGGCGACGAUCCCUAGCUGGUCUGAGAGGAUGACCAGCCACACUGGAACUGAGACACGGUCCAGACUCCUACGGGAGGCAGCAGUGGGGAAUAUUGCACAAUGGGCGCAAGCCUGAUGCAGCCAUGCCGCGUGUAUGAAGAAGGCCUUCGGGUUGUAAAGUACUUUCAGCGGGGAGGAAGGUGUUGUGGUUAAUAACCACAGCAAUUGACGUUACCCGCAGAAGAAGCACCGGCUAACUCCGUGCCAGCAGCCGCGGUAAUACGGAGGGUGCAAGCGUUAAUCGGAAUUACUGGGCGUAAAGCGCACGCAGGCGGUCUGUCAAGUCGGAUGUGAAAUCCCCGGGCUCAACCUGGGAACUGCAUUCGAAACUGGCAGGCUUGAGUCUUGUAGAGGGGGGUAGAAUUCCAGGUGUAGCGGUGAAAUGCGUAGAGAUCUGGAGGAAUACCGGUGGCGAAGGCGGCCCCCUGGACAAAGACUGACGCUCAGGUGCGAAAGCGUGGGGAGCAAACAGGAUUAGAUACCCUGGUAGUCCACGCCGUAAACGAUGUCUACUUGGAGGUUGUGCCCUUGAGGCGUGGCUUCCGGAGCUAACGCGUUAAGUAGACCGCCUGGGGAGUACGGCCGCAAGGUUAAAACUCAAAUGAAUUGACGGGGGCCCGCACAAGCGGUGGAGCAUGUGGUUUAAUUCGAUGCAACGCGAAGAACCUUACCUGGUCUUGACAUCCACAGAACUUUCCAGAGAUGGAUUGGUGCCUUCGGGAACUGUGAGACAGGUGCUGCAUGGCUGUCGUCAGCUCGUGUUGUGAAAUGUUGGGUUAAGUCCCGCAACGAGCGCAACCCUUAUCCUUUGUUGCCAGCGGUCCGGCCGGGAACUCAAAGGAGACUGCCAGUGAUAAACUGGAGGAAGGUGGGGAUGACGUCAAGUCAUCAUGGCCCUUACGACCAGGGCUACACACGUGCUACAAUGGCGCAUACAAAGAGAAGCGACCUCGCGAGAGCAAGCGGACCUCAUAAAGUGCGUCGUAGUCCGGAUUGGAGUCUGCAACUCGACUCCAUGAAGUCGGAAUCGCUAGUAAUCGUGGAUCAGAAUGCCACGGUGAAUACGUUCCCGGGCCUUGUACACACCGCCCGUCACACCAUGGGAGUGGGUUGCAAAAGAAGUAGGUAGCUUAACCUUCGGGAGGGCGCUUACCACUUUGUGAUUCAUGACUGGGGUGAAGUCGUAACAAGGUAACCGUAGGGGAACCUGCGGUUGGAUCACCUCCUUACCUUAAAGAA